UGCAUGUCUCCGAUCCAGUGCUUGAGGGGCGAUUUGGGUCCAGAUUGAAGCUUUGGUGGCGGCUGGGGUAAGUUUUGGUUGCGGUGGUGGGUGUUUGGUGGCGAUGAGGAGGCGGUGAGGCGGGUUUGGUGGCGGUGAAGGUUGUUUGGUGGCGGGUCAGUGGCGGUGAGGUGGUUUUGGUUGUGGUUGUGGGUGUUUGGUGGCGGAGAGGGGGGUUUUGUUUGAGGUUGUGGGUGUUUGGUGGCGGUGAGGAGGCGGUGAGGUGGGUUUGGUGGCGGGUCAGUGGCGGUGAGGUGGUUUUGGUUGUGGUUGUGGGUGUUUGGUGGCGGAGAGGCGGGUUUUGUUUGAGGUUGUGGGUGUUUG
rnacentral:lncRNA from 1 species